ACAAAGUGGUGGCCAAGCGUUCAUAGUGACGUUGCUUUUUGAUCCUUCAAUGUCGGCUCUUCCUAUCAUUGUGAAGUAGAAUUCACCGAGCGUUGGAUUGUUCACCCACUAAUAAAGAACUUGAGCUGGGGUUAGACUGUCGUGAGACAGGUU
rnacentral:ncRNA from 1 species